UUAGAAUUUGCCACAGCAACCCAAACCUUCAGCAGACAACACUCUGAUAAGUGAGCAGCCAUCAACAUCAAAGCAAGACACUCUACCAACAAAGAGAUUACAACCCACUGAAGGCCCAGAUGAUCCUUAGUAUUUUUUUACCAAUAAAAAAUUUUUCAAUUAAGAUUUGAAGGUCUCGCUACAUUGCCUGGGCUGAUCUCAAACUCCUGGACUCAAGGGAUCCUCCUGCCUUGGCCUCCCAAAGUGCUAGGAUUACGGGCAUGAGCUACCGUGCCCAGCCUCUCCAUUGAGUUUUAACAAGUAAAGUAUCACUUAGAUGUUUUUCAUGUAUAUAUUGUAGUUUUAGCUAUAAUCUAGUUUCAAAAAGAAAAUUAAAAGAACCAGAAUGUUUUGUUUGUACAAGCAGGGAGCUAUCUAUUUUAUUUUAACAUAUACCAUACAUGUAUUGAACUACUUAAAUAUAUCUAAAAUUAUAUGUUAUGUAUCACCCUGACCUUCCACUAACACCUAAGUCUGGCGGAGAAAAUCUCCAAAACCUGAAAAAGUUUCUAUGAGAUGAUGGAUUAAAAUGGGAAGCUAUGUCUUUGUCCAACGCCUAGACAGAAGCAAGGCAUGCUGGUCAGAGCUUGGGACUUCCCAGAAGAAUGUGGUCCACGGGGUUGGCAGCUGGCUGGUCGCCUGGCUCAGCAGAGCUUUCCCCACUCCACAGGGACACGGGUUUACCUGUUCCUUUGAGCUGCUCUGGGAGGAUCUGUCAAUGAUUCAUCUGCUGCUGCCAAAAAGCCAGGCUUCCCUGGACUGGAUGGAUGGCUGGAGGACAUGGAGGGUGGGUGAGAUAUCCCAAAGGAGUCUUUCUAGAGGGCCCUACUAAAGGGACACUAAAAGU
rnacentral:lncRNA from 10 species